UACAGAGGGUGCAAGCGUUGUUCGGAAUUAUUGGGCGUAAAGCGCGUGUAGGCGGCUUUGCAAGUCGGGUGUGAAAGCCCUCAGCUCAACUGAGGAAGUGCGCCCGAAACUGCAGAGCUUGAGUGCCGGAGAGGGUGGCGGAAUUCCCCAAGUAGAGGUGAAAUUCGUAGAUAUGGGGAGGAACACCGGUGGCGAAGGCGGCAUCCUGGACCGGCAUUGACGCUGAGGCGCGAAAGCCAGGGGAGCAAACGGG
rnacentral:rRNA from 1 species